UUUGACCCGGGCGGGAGCCAGGAGCUGGUCUCAGUGCCCGGGCGGCUCCCACCUCUCACGGACUGAGCGCCCCGGGUGCUGACUCAUGCUCGGACUCUCCCGUCCAGCCGGGUGCACGCCCACGACGUGCCCUCCUUCUCGCUUCUCCACUGCUUCCUCCCAGGCGCUUCCAGGCGCCCACACGCGCGCUCCCGUCCCGCCGCCGCCCCUCCUAGCAACCGCCCUCCGCUCCCCCUGCCAGAUCCGGAAACGGGCGGUCUGGUCCGCUGCUGCCUCCGGAACCCUGCAAGCCGCUAGGCCUCCGCCUCCGCCUCCGGCUCCCCUGCCCUCUGCUGAAACCACCCUGCUGAAGGUCGACCGAGCCCGCCUGCCCCGCGAGGACAGGUGGCCCUGGGCCUCCCACUCCCGCUCCCGCCCUGCGGCGCCGAUGCUCCGGCUGCCGCCUCUUCCCGGAUGGACCUGCUCGCUCCCCUGGUUUCCAUGACACUGCACUUUCCCACGCCGCCUCCGAGUUUCUGACAGCUCGUUUCCUCGCUGGCAUCGCCCCCCCCCCCCCUCAGCCUCUCCCCGUGGGCCUGCCCGAGGCGCUGCCCUGGGCUCUCUCUCCCUCCUCCCGCUUGCGUGCCCACGGGCUCCCCCUCCGCCCCUGCCUCGUGCCACCCCCUCCCCCCACUGCUGCCUCUCCAGCGGCUGCCCGUCCCUCCGUAGCCCCCAGUCCCACGUGGCUAGGGCUUACGGAACUCUUACCCUAUCCCCACCCCAUGUCCUAAAUCACUGGACGUCAGACUGGUGCCCCUGGAGGUGUUCAGGCGUGGUCUGGCCCGCCAGCCACAUGACCUGGUGGGAUGUCCUGGAGGUGACUUCACAUGCCCCCUGCGCCUGAGCCCCGCGGCAGGCCUGCGCGAGUGGCCCAGUUUGGAAGACAAAUGAUAUAUUCACCCUCCUUCGGGGGUCAAGGAGGAGAAAGCAUCCGGGAGGAGGAAACACAGGUGUAAACUACCACGGAAAGAACAAGGAAGCGGUGUUUGCAAUGUGGUCCGCUGGAGUUGAGUUUGGCGAACUUCUGACUUUGAGAGAGGUUUCUGAGGAAAGAAGUGGAUUGUCAGUAUGACAGCCUAUGAGUCAAGUGAAGAAGCCCAUGAAAAUAUUUUAUGCUGCCAACUUUGGCCAGCUUGUACGGACAACUGACUGAUAACUUGCGGUAUGGACCGGAAGCAAGAAUUUAGGGUAGGCAUGGAUGGGCUGAAGCUCUGGCUGGCAACACGAGAAAUCUGUCUCCAUAGUCAAGCUGUUACCGCAAAGCUGUGUCUCCUCAGUGCCCUUAUAUACAAAGAAACCGUUGCCCUCCAGAAUUCGUGUGCAGAUUUAAGACAAGUACUUAAUGAAGCUGAUAAACUUGUCAAUCAUGUCACAAGCAGGCAGUUCAAUAAAGACCUGACCUGUUUUCUUGGCUGAAUGAAGAGACGGGUGGUGACUACAAAGAACCACUGUUUCAAAUGAAAGCUCAUUGUCUUUUGAUUAGAAAAGUUUUUACUGAGUUAUAAGGGGAACUUUACUGUUUCAGAGAAAACUUUCCUUUGGUGAGAUAGUAUAGCAGGGUGGGCGUGGCUUACAAGUUAGUCUGUGUGCUCAUCUCAACUCCUGUACAUGCUGUUACCAGGCAAGUGUAUGAGGAGUCGGCCAUCGACACCCGGGAGAUGCAUUGGCAGAAACCUGGCCCCGUCUGGCAGAGACUUCGAUCCUGGGACUUAAGGUUUUUGCUGUUGCCUGAAAGACCUGGUUUUUAACUCAUCUGAAAAUAGGAAGAGAUAUUAGACGACUUAAUAAAAAGGCUAAGGAGUCAAACUGGAAGUGGUUUAGUAGACAAGGAAACUUUUACUGCUCUACUUUAGGACAUCACCAAAUAAUUUUGGACCUUAGUUUGAAGAGCGGAUCCUGGAGAUAGUGUCAGAUGGUUUCUUGAAACUACUUUUCUGGUUCUUUCGUUCGGGGUUUUUGUUUUUGAAUACAGUCAUUUAUAUCAUUUUCUUCCACUCGCAUCAUUUUGAGUGGGAAUUAUCUUUCAGCAUCUGAUCCAGUCAGGGGAGACAGUUAAACAGAGUAGGAGUCAACGUUUCCUGGCACUUUCUUUGUGCAAGGGACCGUUGGAAGUGCACAUACUCAUUUAAUCCUCUCAGUGACACCGUCAAGUAAUACCAUCCCAUAAAUAAGUGACUGUUAUUAUCUUUGUUUUAUAGAUAUUGAAACUUAGGCACAAAAGGUUAAGCACUUUGCCCAAGGUCGCACAGGUAGAAAAGCCAGGAUUAAAGGCCAGACAAUUCUGCCUGCCAAGGGCAAACUUUGAACCAUUGCGCUAUAUUUUUUAAAUAUAUAAAUAUGCAUGUAUGUAUAUACUUAACAUAAGUGGCACUUUAUUGCUCCUGCAACAAAUGACCACAAGCCUCCUGGUUAAAGCAGCAUGCGGUUAUUAUCUCAGCAUCAUGGAGGUCAGAAGUCCGAAAUGGAUGUCACCAGGGCUGCGUUCCUUCUGGAGGCUCUAGGGAGAAUCUGUUUCCUUGCUUUUUUUCAUUUUCUAGAGGUUACCUGCAUCCCUCGACUCUUGGCUCCCUUCCCCCAUCUUCAAAGGCGGAAGUGUCACACUUUCAGUUCUCUCUCUGACUCUGACAAUGAUUCUCCUGUCUCCCUCUUUUGCUUGUAAGGACACUUGAGAUUACAUCUGGAUAAUCCAGGAUCAUCUCUUGAUUGUAAGGUCGUUGACUAGCAACCCUAAUUCCAUCUGCAACCUGAAUUACUCCUUGCCACAUAGCAUAACAUGUUCACGGGUUCCGGGAGUGGGGACAUGGAUAUCUUAGCGAGGUCACCAUCCUGCCAACCAUAACUUUCUUAGUUCACACUCUGAAACUUAAAACCCAAAACGGUGUCCAGUGGAUAAUCUCCCUCUAUGUUUGCUCCCUGGCCACAUAGCUCCCUUCCUCAGAAGCAUCUGAUGUUAUCCUGUGUCCUAGAUAUAUUUUAUGCAUGUGAAGGCAAAUAUGUAUAUUUGUUAUUUUUUUAAUUGUUUGAUCUUCCCUACAAACACUGUCCUACAUAUUGCUUGUUUUCAUUUAAAAGCUAUGUCCUGGAGAUCGGUCAGGUUCAUAUAUAAAGAUCUGGGUGUCCUUCUUUUCUGUGUCUACAUCAUCUUCCACUCCAUGAGUGUAUAUUAUGUUGUAUUUACCUUCUUCACUUAGCCCACAGGACAGGUGGGGGGGGGGUCUCCAAUCUUUCAGUUGUUUUCAGUGUUUUGCGAUACAAACAAUGCUGUAGUGAACAGCUUUGUACCCUCAUCUGGAAAGUGUAGGGUGUGUCUAUAGGAUUAACCUCUAGAAGGAGAAUGACAGGGUCAUGGAGUCUGUGCAUGUGUCAUUUAGCUAGCUAAUGCGAAACUGCCUUCUUUUACCCUUUCCAAUUAGGAAUUUAAAAAAUAAAUAAAGGGGCGCCUGGGUGGCUCAGUCGGUUAAGCGUCCGACUUCGGCUCAGGUCACGAUCUCAUGGCUCAUGAGUUCAAGCCCCAAUC